rnacentral:rRNA from 1 species
UACGGGGGGGGCAAGCGUUGUUCGGAAUUACUGGGCGUAAAGGGCGCGUAGGCGGCCAUCUAAGUCAGACGUGAAAUCCCCCGGCUCAACCUGGGAACUGCGUCUGAUACUGGACGGCUUGAGUUUGGGAGAGGGAUGUAGAAUUCCAGGUGUAGCGGUGAAAUGCGUAGAUAUCUGGAGGAAUACCGGUGGCGAAGGCGGCAUCCUGGACCAAUACUGACGCUGAGGCGCGAAAGCUAGGGGAGCAAACGGG